CUGAAAUCCAGGGUGCGUUAAGGUGAUAUGUUUACACCCCCGCUGGCAUUUAACCACAGGAGUAGCUAUAAGUACUUGUACCUGCGACAGACCUCAGCUGAGUUCUCCCAGAAUGCCUUGCAGGUCUGCUGUUUGGGAAACAGUGCAGCACAGAAAGUAUGCAGCAUGGUGGUGGCAGUCCCUUGGGUGUAGAUUCAAAUCCAGCUCAAUUUGUGUGGAGUUUGCAUGUACUCCAUGUGUUUGCAGGGGUUUCCUCCAGGUGCUCUGGUUUCCUCCCACAGGCAGUAUCACUACCCACUGUUCCUUCGUGCCCCUCUUCGCUCAUCAGCCCAGACACGAUACCAACACCAAGAAGACGAGCCCCUCUGUGAGCCAUGGACCCCCCAGCCUGAUGUCCAUUCCCACAAUGGUUAUCUACCCCUGACUCCCUCAAUAUUGCCGCACUUAUCCCCCACCCUCCUCCACCUCGGUGCUGUCUCCUGCAGGGGCUGCUUGUGUUCGACACCCGUUCCGUCAAAGAGAAUUUCAACGCACGUUGUACGUGUCCAGCUGGCGCAAGACCGUGGGAUAUAUUUUACACCCUUGUUUUUUAAAGAAGUGAUUUACGACGUAUUUGUGGAAUUCCAGCCUGCCGCUACUCCCACUCCAGCGUCUCUCUGGCACGACCAGGAGAAAACUCUCGCUCCCAUAUUCUUACGCAGGGAAUCGGCUCCCAUCACAGAGGGUCUGCUUGUCUGGGCUUUUCGUAAUUUUUUAUGCAUUUUUUUUUCCUCAAACUGCUCAGUUCAAAUCAGAAAGAUUGCAGAAUUUAUUUGUGGUUCAUUCAUCACAGUGCGUGUACUUUGUCAAAGCUGCCAGCCGCCACUCAUUUCCAUUGCAGAUCGUUUAAGGCCCUUGCGGUGAAGGUAAACUUUGGCCCAUUGCGGCCAGGUGUGAGUCACGGUACUGAGAAAGAGUGACGGAGAAACAGCCCUUUCACGACCGCCUCCUGGGUCCUGUGACAGCCGGCGAGGGACCCUCGACCCGAAUGGGAAAAAAAACAACACAGAAAGUAUUUCCUGAAAUGAAAUUCUAUCUAAUUUUCCUUUAUAUAGCAGAAUACUUUAGGGACCGUCUAAAAAGUCUCCUUCUUUUGUGCACCUCCCCCUCCAAGUGCAUCAAAAAUUCCAUUAAUUGGAAGUAAUGACAUUCCAUGAUGUGAAUAUGAAUGAUGAAUAUCAAUAUUUUUCAUACUUUUGUGUUCGCUGAGGUUGCAUUCGAAAAAGCUGAAGGAAGAGUCACCCUAAAGGGAUCACCCUUCAGUAGUAUUUCUCACAGUAAGACUGCAUUAGUCACAAAACGAAGCCAGACGUACGUUCUUGUGCGGAUUCGUCACAUAAAUUUCUUUUUCCUAGAGAUUGGAAAAUAAGUGCUUCUCUGAUAAACGCCCGAAUUUCUUCCUCAAUUUAUUUCAACUGAUUUUCAAUCAAGG
rnacentral:lncRNA from 1 species